rnacentral:rRNA from 1 species
UUCCGGUUGAUCCUGCCAGAGGCUACCGCUAUUGGAGUCCGAUUAAGACAUGCGUCGAGAGCUUUCGGAGCUCGGCAUACUGCUCAGUAACAUGUGGGUAACCUGCCCUGUGCUGGGGGAUAACCUCGGGAAACUGAGAACAAUACCCCAUAGUCCACUACGCCUGGAACGGUGAGUGGAUGAAAGCCCCGGCGGCACAGGAUGGGCCUGCGGCGUAUCAGGUAGUAGGGGGUGUAAAGUACCCUCUAGCCUUCGACGCGUACGGGUUGUGAGAGCAAUAGCCCGGAGAUGGAUUCUGAGACACGAAUCCAGGUCCUACGGGACGCAGCAGUCGCGAAACCUUGACAAUGCGGGAAACCGUGAUCAGGGGACUCCAAGUGCCAGGAGUAAGAUCCUGUGCUUUUCUUUUCUCUUCAAAGGAUUUGGAAUAAGAGGUGGGUAAGGACGGUGCCAGCCGCCGCGGUAAUACCGGCGCCUCGAGUGGUAGUCGAUUUUAUUGGGCCUAAAACGUCCGUCGCCGGUCUGGUGCAUUCGUGGGUAAAUCAACCCGCUCAACGGGUUGAAUUCUGCGAGCACGGCCAGACUAGGGACCGGGAGAGGUGUGGGGUACGCUCGGGGUAGGGGUAAAAUCCUGUCAUCCUGAGAGGACCACCUGUUGCGAAGGCGCCACACUAGAACGGAUCCGACGGUCAGGGACGAAACCUAGGGGCACGAACCGGAUUAGAUACCCGGGUAGUCCUAGGUGUAAACGCUGUGGACUUGAUGUUGGGGGCGCUCCGAGCGCUCUCAGUGUCGAAGCGAAGGUGAUAAGUCCACUGCCUGGGGAGUACGGUCGCAAGCUGAAACUUAAAGGAAUUGGCGGGGGAGCAC